GUUAUUCCCAAAUACGAGUUUAUGAAUAGUGGCAAAAAGGAGAUAGCAUUUUAAAUGUGAAGUUUGCCAUCCUUACUGGCAGUUGCACUAGCAGAAGAAAUGCUAUAUACAAAUACUAUACUUUAAUGAAGAACUCAAAGGAAACCGAAGGUUGCAUUUGAUAAAUUGCGUGGGCAGUGAACACUGCUCUUGAUAAAUUAUUCAUAAACCAGCAAGAGAGUACUGAGUUUGCCAUAACCAUCAGAAAGGUCAUUCACUCGUACUAGCAGGAAUGAGUGCUGGGUGAAGCAGUUUGUGGCUUCAGAUAACACCAUGCUGUCCCUCCAGUGGACUCACUUUGAUGAAAUUGUAUGAAGAACCUGAUUUAAAGCAUGUGCAAGAGACAUGGUCAUAGAUGUGGAGGAAGCUGAAGAAAAGUCAAAGUAAGGAGUUACCUACCAGAAGGAAACUGCCUUCUCAUGAAACCAUGAUUGCCACUAUUCAACUCAGAUAGCAAUCUCAUAGCUGCUUCCUUGUCUAAAGAGAACGUUUGCUCCUGUUAGCCUGUGAAUGAAAGGGAAGAAUGAAAAUGGAAGAUGGAAAUUGAGCUGUCAGUAUGCUGUGAGGAAACGAACAGUGUGUAUUGUUCACAGAGGUUCGGCUUUACUGAAGAAUAUAUCCAGAAAAUAUUAGAGGAGUCAGGAGAUCCCUGUCUUUUUUUGAACAGGGAAGCCCAGAACUGGAUGCAGUACUCCAGAUGUGGCCUCACCAGGGCAGAAGAAUCACCUCCCUUGAACUGCUGGCCACACCCUUCUUGAUGCACCUAAGGAUACCCAUUGGUUUUCAUGUCCAGAGGGGCACACUGCUGGCUCAGUGGCCUGUUAUCCACCAUCUUAUUCACCAUUAUCUUGCUUUAUUAGUGCUUUAUUACAUAGGUAUCUACUGUAUAGGGGAAUCAUAACUUAAUUCUGAAGGUGUCUGAGAGUGACUGAUACAUUUCUAAAGCCAAUAAUAUGUAUUUUAAUAUGACACUUCAUAUUUAAUGUUCAUAACAAAUGAAUGUGUGGUAUUGGCAUGAUAUCUAUCUGCUGUAAGUUUCUUUCUUUCAAACUCAUAAAAGGAGAGAUUUCCAGAAUAAUACUCACAGAUAUUGUUUAAAAAAUAAAAGAAAGUUGCUCAAUUUCUCUUCAGUAGCAUAUAUAUUUGGAAGACCUGAAACAUCCUCAUAAUCAGAUCAAAUCUAAAUUGCUCUUUGUAUGACCAUCACAGUUGAAUGCAUAAUUUGAAAGGGUCUAUUUCUGAAGGCUCUGAAAAUCAGAUUUUGUUCUUUGUGAACUGAAAUAUUCAUAAAUAUUGCAUAUCUAUUUUUAACAUUUCUUUGGUUCCCUC
ensembl:lncRNA